rnacentral:rRNA from 1 species
AGAGUUUGAUCAUGGCUCAGAUUGAACGCUGGCGGCAGGCCUAACACAUGCAAGUCGAGCGGUAGCACAGAGAGCUUGCUCUCGGGUGACGAGCGGCGGACGGGUGAGUAAUGUCUGGGAAACUGCCUGAUGGAGGGGGAUAACUACUGGAAACGGUAGCUAAUACCGCAUAAUGUCGCAAGACCAAAGUGGGGGACCUUCGGGCCUCAUGCCAUCAGAUGUGCCCAGAUGGGAUUAGCUUGUAGGUGGGGUAACGGCUCACCUAGGCGACGAUCCCUAGCUGGUCUGAGAGGAUGACCAGCCACACUGGAACUGAGACACGGUCCAGACUCCUACGGGAGGCAGCAGUGGGGAAUAUUGCACAAUGGGCGCAAGCCUGAUGCAGCCAUGCCGCGUGUGUGAAGAAGGCCUUCGGGUUGUAAAGCACUUUCAGCGGGGAGGAAGGCGAUAAGGUUAAUAACCUUGUCGAUUGACGUUACCCGCAGAAGAAGCACCGGCUAACUCCGUGCCAGCAGCCGCGGUAAUACGGAGGGUGCAAGCGUUAAUCGGAAUUACUGGGCGUAAAGCGCACGCAGGCGGUCUGUCAAGUCGGAUGUGAAAUCCCCGGGCUCAACCUGGGAACUGCAUUCGAAACUGGCAGGCUAGAGUCUUGUAGAGGGGGGUAGAAUUCCAGGUGUAGCGGUGAAAUGCGUAGAGAUCUGGAGGAAUACCGGUGGCGAAGGCGGCCGCCUGGAGAAAGACUGGCGCACAGGAGAGAAAGCGGGGGUAGGAAAAAGGAUUAGAUGCCGUGGUUGUCCUCGGCGUAAACGAUGUCGAUUUGGAGGUUGUGCCCUUGAGGCGUGGCUUCCGGAGUUAACGCGUUAAACCGACCGCCUGGGGAGUACGGCCGCAAGGUUAAAAC